GUCAGCAGGCGUCUCCAGGACCAUCAGAAGAUACCCACACAGUGGCCUCAGAUGCCUGGCUCCACACUGGUGUUUUGUGAUCUCAAUGCUCUGCUUCCUGACAUCACAAACAGGGGACAAUAAUCAGCAGCUUCUUUCUCCUCACCCAGAUGGCAGGUAGUAGCAGCUCCAGAUUUCUUGCUGCUGUAGUUACAGACCAAAAGGACAGUGAAGAGAAAGGGACUGAAGGAUUGUUUUUGUGUCCAUCUUAAACAUAUUUACCUGAUGUUUUUCCAAGUCCUUGACUCUCUUCAUGUUUAUCCAGCACGAAUCUUUGGAUAUAUUGCUGAGAACAGGUCAUUCCAAGGAUGACAUCGUAAAGCGCCGUUUACUUCACCAACAUCAGACAACUGUCAGCUCCAAGGACUCACUGACGGCUUUUAGCACGCCAGGACGCAGUCGACAGCUGCGCAGAGACCGGUGCAGGCGCGAACUUCAUCUGCUGCUAUCUUUAUCACCUAAGCGGUGGCGUCUCCCAUUGAGCCCUCCAAUGACAGCCUGUUCAGGCUGAGGCUGCCUGCUAAGGCAAAACAUCCAGCGUCAUCAAGCUCCAGAACUACUGAAGUGGCCCAGUCGGUGGUUGUGUUCCUGGCAGUGCCAACCAAUCUGAUUUUAUGAUUUCUCCCAAUA
rnacentral:lncRNA from 1 species